rnacentral:rRNA from 1 species
CCUACGGGGUGCAGCAGUGGGGAAUAUUGGGCAAUGGGCGCAAGCCUGACCCAGCAACGCCGCGUGAAGGAAGAAGGCCCUCGGGUUGUACACUUCUUUUAUCAAGGACGAAACAAAUGACGGUACUUGAUGAAUAAGCCACGGCUAACUACGUGCCAGCAGCCGAGGUAAUACGUAGGUGGCAAGCGUUAUCCGGAUUUACUGGGUGUAAAGGGCGUGUCGGCGGGACUGCAAGUCAGAUGUGAAAACCAUGGGCUCAACCCAUGGCCUGCAUUGGAAACUGUAGUUCUUGAGUGUUGGAGAGGCAGGCGGAAUUCCGUGUGUAGCGGUGAAAUGCGUAGAUAUCACGCAGAACUCCGAUUGCGAAGGCAGCAUACCGGCGCCCGACUGACGCUGAGGCACGAAAGCGUGGGGAUCGAACAGGAUUAGAUACCCUUGUAGUC